GGCAUCUGGUGACCAGGGUUGUCUCCAGUUAGCGAGCAUAGGUGUGCUCUUUAGCCCUCGCCUUCGUCUUUACUUGGCGUCGUUUGCGUUCUUUGUCUCGAUGUGUGGUCGCCAUUUCUGUCUUGUUUGUUCUGGUUUAUCCAUUCCGUCUUUUGUUUUGUUUUUUUGUACUCAGACCAUCUAGCGCUCGAAGUCGUAAUUACGUAGGCGUUUAUUGUUUUGAGAUUUAUGUGAUGAAAUGCAUCUCCAUCAAAAUCAAAAGAAACCCAGACUCGAUUGUCACAAAAUUUGCCAUUUUCAAGGAAUAUCAAAUAUUGCAGAUACACACAACACACCUGCAAACAACGUGAUCAAUAGGAGGGAGAAAAUUGCGCAAGCAAAAAGUACUACAACAGGUUAUACCUAAACGUACGUUUUACAUAAAGAAUGAAAAUACUGUUUACACUACUUAUAUACGACGGAAAACUAUGUACAAGAAAAUAGACCCAACUUAGUUGAUAGAAAACCAUACCCAUUAUGGAAACAAGCAUAAAAAGCCCCUUUAAUGUAUAAAAUCCUCUAGCACUAGGAAAGCUCACAGAAAACCCUAUGUCUCAAACACUACAACAAUUAAGCCAUAAUUAAUUUACUAUCUCACUUGUAGACCGCAGAACUGCCAUAAAACUGGAUCAUCCAUUGGGUUUCACUAACCAAUCUCAAGUAUAGCCGUAUGAACAAUAGCGCCAGCGAAGAAUCGAAGAAGAAAUUCCAGCUGGAAAAACGGCCAUAGCAAGAGCCCCCUGAAAACAUCCAAGUCAGUUGGUUAACUAAGUCAAUCUCAUAUUAAGAGAUUAAGUUAAGAUUCUAGAUGUCAGUAAUUUACAGCCAAAAUAAUAGUUUCACGAUCUUCAAACGGUAACUCAUUUUCAUCAUUACGGAUAAUAUACACUACCGCAUUGAAGAUCCAUUACCAUAAUCCCAUAGUAAAAGACGUUGAACAUAACACAACACCGAUUUCCAAUAAAUCAACCAUAAUUGCCGAAACAAACCACCUUAAAUGGAUAAAACCAAAAAUUAGUUUAUAUAACCUUGACUGUCAAUCUUAAUGCUAAACGUUUGAAAAUCAGAGACUCGAGUGAAUCUUCAUGUUUAUCAGAAACACGGGAAAUUUAUUCAUUAAAGAACUACAAGACAGCCGCAUACGUAAUAUAUUUACCUCACAGCCACAAAACUACAGCAACGAACUGCAAUUUUUACCUUGUAUCCAAACCAAAUCUGAGCGGAUAUCUGAAAAGAAAUAUAAUAGGAUAGAAAAUACGCUCGCAAACAAUUUGAUUAACUGGGGAGAAAAAAAAAAAACGAUCAAAAGGAAGGCAGUUGUAUUCAACAAUGAUUUCAGGAAAAUGCAUUGAAAGCUUUCUCAUCAUUUCAAGAAAUAUCACCAAAGUACACUGGUCACAUUUCGCUAACUCAGGGUGUUAACAAUACAAGAAAAACGCACCACUAACAGAUGCUAAACAAUGAAAAAGAUGUCAGAUGCUAAAUACACAACGGAAAAACUGUGCAAAAGAAAAACAAUAAAUUUUUCUCAUAAAACCAGUUUUGUAAGGGAUAGAUCUAAUAUUUAAAGGAAAACUGUGUAAAAAAAAAAAAAAAAAAACUAUCCCACUCAGAUGUGUAUCCGAAUCCGACUUCGGUGACUAAUCUACAAUAAUUAAGCCAUAAAUGAUUUGUUAGCUCACCUGUAGAGCACAGAAGAGCCACAAAACAGGAUCAUCCAUUAAGAUUUGCCAACCAUUACACUAUCUAACGGUUGAACCAGCGAAGAAAAGAUUCCAGCUAGGAAACCGGCCACACCAAAAGCACCCUGAAAGCAUCUCAUUCAGUUUGUUAACUAAGUCAAUCACAUAUUAAGAGAUUAAGGUAAGAAUGUAGAUUGUCAGAAAUUUUCAGCCAAAAGAAUAUUUUCAAGAAUAUCAAACGGUAACUCGUUUUCAUCAUUACGG